rnacentral:rRNA from 1 species
CAGCUUGCUGGUGUGGAUGAGUGGCGAACGGGUGAGUAAUACGUGAGUAACCUGCCCUUGACUCUGGGAUAAGCCCGGGAAACUGGGUCUAAUACUGGAUGCUACAUGUCACCGCAUGGUGGUGUGUGGAAAGGGUUUACUGGUCUUGGAUGGGCUCACGGCCUAUCAGCUUGUUGGUGAGGUAAUGGCUCACCAAGGCGACGACGGGUAGCCGGCCUGAGAGGGUGACCGGCCACACUGGGACUGAGACACGGCCCAGACUCCUACGGGAGGCAGCAGUGGGGAAUAUUGCACAAUGGGCGAAAGCCUGAUGCAGCGACGCCGCGUGAGGGAUGACGGCCUUCGGGUUGUAAACCUCUUUCAGCAGGGAAGAAGCCACAAGUGACGGUACCUGCAGAAGAAGCGCCGGCUAACUACGUGCCAGCAGCCGCGGUAAUACGUAGGGCGCAAGCGUUGUCCGGAAUUAUUGGGCGUAAAGAGCUCGUAGGCGGUUUGUCGCGUCUGCUGUGAAAGCCCGGGGCUUAACCCCGGGUGUGCAGUGNGUA